rnacentral:tRNA from 1 species
AGAGUGUGAGGUACAAUUAAAAGCUGCUAACUUUUGAUUAAGUGGUUAAAUUCCAUUUAUACUCUU